rnacentral:rRNA from 1 species
UAGGGAAUCUUCCACAAUGGACGCAAGUCUGAUGGAGCAACGCCGCGUGAGUGAAGAAGGUUUUCGGAUCGUAAAGCUCUGUUGUUGGAGAAGAAGGAUAGAGGCAGUAACUGGUCUUUAUUUGACGGUAAUCAACCAGAAAGUCACGGCUAACUACGUGCCAGCAGCCGCGGUAAUACGUAGGUGGCAAGCGUUGUCCGGAUUUAUUGGGCGUAAAGCGAGCGCAGGCGGAAUGAUAAGUCUGAUGUGAAAGCCCACGGCUCAACCGUGGAACUGCAUCGGAAACUGUCAUUCUUGAGUGCAGAAGAGGAGAGUGGAAUUCCAUGUGUAGCGGUGGAAUGCGUAGAUAUAUGGAAGAACACCAGUGGCGAAGGCGGCUCUCUGGUCUGCAACUGACGCUGAGGCUCGAAAGCAUGGGUAGCGAACAGG